rnacentral:rRNA from 1 species
GCAGUCGACGAUGAACCACUUCGGUGGGGAUUAGUGGCGAACGGGUGAGUAACACGUGGGCAAUCUGCCCUGCACUCUGGGACAAGCCCUGGAAACGGGGUCUAAUACCGGAUACUGACCCUCGCAGGCAUCUGCGAGGUUCGAAAGCUCCGGCGGUGCAGGAUGAGCCCGCGGCCUAUCAGCUUGUUGGUGAGGUAAUGGCUCACCAAGGCGACGACGGGUAGCCGGCCUGAGAGGGCGACCGGCCACACUGGGACUGAGACACGGCCCAGACUCCUACGGGAGGCAGCAGUGGGGAAUAUUGCACAAUGGGCGAAAGCCUGAUGCAGCGACGCCGCGUGAGGGAUGACGGCCUUCGGGUUGUAAACCUCUUUCAGCAGGGAAGAAGCGAAAGUGACGGUACCUGCAGAAGAAGCGCCGGCUAACUACGUGCCAGCAGCCGCGGUAAUACGUAGGGCGCAAGCGUUGUCCGGAAUUAUUGGGCGUAAAGAGCUCGUAGGCGGCUUGUCGCGUC